CCUACGGGGGCAGCAGUGGGGAAUAUUGCACAAUGGGGGAAACCCUGAUGCAGCAACGCCGCGUGAAGGGAGACGGUUUUCGGAUUGUAAACUUCUGUUCUUAGUGAAGAAUAAUGACGGUAGCUAAGGAGCAAGCCACGGCUAACUACGUGCCAGCAGCCGCGGUAAUACGUAGGUGGCAAGCGUUGUCCGGAAUUACUGGGUGUAAAGGGAGCGGAGGCGGGAGGCCAAGUCAGAUGUGAAAACUACGGGCUUAACGUGUGGACUACAGGUGAAACUGGGUUUCUUGAGUGAAGUAGAGGUUGGCGGAAUUCCGGGUGUAGCGGUGAAAUGCGGAGAGAUUCGGAGGAACACCGGUGGCGAAGGCGGCCAACUGGGCUGUAACUGACGCUGAGGCUCGAAAGUGUGGGGAGCAAACAGGAUUAGAUACCCUAGUAGUC
rnacentral:rRNA from 1 species